CCGAGUGAAUGAUAAGGAAAGAACAUACUGCUUUUUCACUACGGGGUACAGGAUGGGACAUAUUGAGUAAUGCUAUCCCCUUGAGAGUGCUGGCCGUUCGUUGACCAAGCACCGUAAAUCGACGGUCAAUUUGUCCCGGGUCUUUGGUGAUUGAACAAGCCAGUGAAGCCACCCACUGCAGAAAGGAUUGAAGAUUAGAAUACAGUUGUAGCACGCUACGUAAAUACAUGUGAUAACCAUAAGGAUAAGAACGAGUUACUAGUUAAUGGUGAUAAGAUACGGUCAUAGGAGACCCUGCGGAAGGAAAGAUCGGGAAUGAUUGGGAAACCUGAAACUUAAAUAAU
rnacentral:sRNA from 2 species